rnacentral:rRNA from 1 species
UGACGAGUGGCGGACGGGUGAGUAAUGCGUAGGAAUCUGUCUUUGAGUGGGGGACAACCCAGGGAAACUUGGGCUAAUACCGCAUAAGCCCUGAGGGGGAAAGCGGGGGAUCUUCGGACCUCGCGCUGGAAGAGGAGCCUACGUCUGAUUAGCUAGUUGGUAGGGUAAAGGCCUACCAAGGCGACGAUCGGUAGCUGGUCUGAGAGGACGACCAGCCACACUGGGACUGAGACACGGCCCAGACUCCUACGGGAGGCAGCAGUGGGGAAUUUUUCGCAAUGGGGGCAACCCUGACGAAGCAAUGCCGCGUGAAUGAAGAAGGCCUUCGGGUUGUAAAGUUCUUUCGUGGAGGACGAAAAGGUGGGUGCUAAUAUCNCCUGCUGUUGACGUGAAUCCAAGAAGAAGCACCGGCUAACUCCGUGCCAGCCGCCGCGGUAAUUCAANGGCGAAUU